rnacentral:rRNA from 1 species
GCAUAAUAAAUAGUUUUUUAAUUGAGAACUGGAAUGAAAGGUAGAAACUGAAGGGAAAAGUUUUAUUUAAUAAAUUUGAAUUUAAAUUAAAAGUAAAAAUGCUUUUAUAAAUUUUUGGGACGAGAAGACCCUAGAAGCUUAAAAAUUGAAUUUUUUUAUUGGGGCAAUAUUUGAAGAUAAAAAUUUUUGAAAAAUAAAGAGGAUUAUACAAAGUUACUCUAGGGAUAACAGCAUAAUUUAAUUAGCAAGUUCUUAUUAAUAAUUAAGUUUAUGACCUCGAUGUUGAAUUAAAU